rnacentral:snoRNA from 1 species
AUGGAAAUGAUGAUUAUUUCCCCAGAUGAUCGAAGCUGAUUAAACUGAGCUAAUUUUUUUCUCUUUUGAGAAUCCAAGCCAGAAUUCUGAUCCAU